CUACGGGCGGCUGCAGUGGGGGAUAUUGCACAAUGGGCGAAAGCCUGAUGCAGCAACGCCGCGUGAAGGAUGACGGAUUUCGGUCUGUAAACUUCUAUCAGCAGGGAAGAAAAUGACGGUACCUGACUAAGAAGCCCCGGCUAACUACGUGCCAGCAGCCGCGGUAAUACGUAGGGGGCAAGCGUUAUCCGGAAUUACUGGGUGUAAAGGGUACGUAGGCGGCUGAUCAAGUCAGAUGUGAAAGCCCGGAGCUCAACUCCGGGAUUGCAUUUGAAACUGGUCGGCUAGAGUGCAGGAGAGGAAAGUGGAAUUCCUAGUGUAGCGGUGAAAUGCGUAGAUAUUAGGAAGAACACCAGUGGCGAAGGCGGCUUUCUGGACUGUAACUGACGCUGAGGUACGAAAGCGUGGGGAGCGAACAGGAUUAGAUACCCUAGUAGUC
rnacentral:rRNA from 1 species